CGGGACCACAGGAUCCGGCGGCCACGAGCUCUCGCCACCACUAGAUCCGGUGGUGGCGAACUCGUGGCCGCCGGAUGUGGCGUUUCCA
rnacentral:pre_miRNA from 1 species